UGUAGCUUCGGCAGCAUGUAUAUUAAAAUUGAUGAUACAGAGAAGAUUAUUAGCAUUGUCCCUGUGCAAGGAUGGCAUGCAAAUUCAUGAAGUUUUACAUAUUUUU